AUGAAGAAAGUCAACGCUGUCCAAGAAGAGACUAAUAUUUUGCAGGACGCUAUGGAAGAAGAAAUUGUUGAAACAGUGAGCUCAUUGGAUGAAAAAGAUGAUGAGGAGAGCGAAGAACAAAAGGAGGAAGAGAGGAUUAGCUACCCGUGCCCACCUUCUAAUGAGAGUAACUCUUCAACUCAUACAUUGUUUAAUUUCCCUUCAUGCUUACCGAAGGAUGAUUGCUAUGAUGAUUACUAUGAUGAUUGCUAUGAUGAUUGUUAUGAUCCCAUGAAUUUGUUUGAAAUAUCCCUUUUUGAUGAUGCUUGCUAUGCUUGUGGCCAAGAUGCCAAUAUGAAUUAUGCUUAUGGAGAUGAACUUGCUAUAGUUCCUUAUGUUAAACAUGAAAUUGUUGCUAUUGCACCCACGCAUGAUAGUCCUAUUAUCUUUUUGAAUUCUCCAAACUACACUAUAUCGAAGAAGUUUGCGCUUAGUAAGGAUUGUAUUGAUGGGUAUCCUUUUACCAUUGCAUAUGAUGAUUUUGAUGAAUGUAAUAUGCAUGUGCUUGCUGCUCCUACUUGCAAUUAUUAUGAGAGAGUAACUUUAUCUCCACCUCUCUAUGUUUCCAAUACGAUAGAAUUGCAAGAAACUGUUUAUACUAUGCAUUGGCCUUUACUUUGUGUGCAUGAAUUAUUCUUUUAUGACAUGCCGAUGCAUAGGAAGAGAGUUAGACUUUGUUGUUGCAUGAUAUAUGUUACUUUGUGCUCACUACUAAAUUACAAAUCAUUGUUAAUUAAAAUUGGCUUUGAUAUACCUUGGGAUCUAGGUGGAUUCAUUACUUGA
rnacentral:rRNA from 1 species